GGAAUAAUCAACAAAACGAAAUGGCAUCACUUGUGUUUUUUUUUUCUUCCCCGCUCAAAUGUCAGCUCGUAUAAAAACAAAUGGAUCAUACAAUUGAUAAUCUCAGCGAAAAUUUCUUGGGAUCAAAAAGUUGUCAGCAUACUAGGAUUGUGUUGUUUUAUCAUUAGCUAUUAACAUCAACUUUAUUGGAGACUAUGCGAAGCAGUUCUAACCUAACAUGUAAGGAUAUCGCUCUGCCAUUGGACACUGCAGAAUGGAAAAGCUGCUAUGGUGAAUCAUGUACGCGUUGAAGCCAGCAGGAAGCCUUUCGAUUCAGCCUUCCUAAAAAGCACCGGAAUAGCAAGUGGAGCAUCAUAGAUAGACCCAGUUAUGCACAUAUGAGUUAUAGAGCACGAAACAAUUUGGUUUCAGUGCGUGUAUUUUGAUAUAUGAUUAUUUUGUUAGUAAUAAAAUUGUUGAAAUUGGUGACCGGAAUAAAUCGCCACAGUAAACAACUGCAACAGAAACAACCGCUUAGAAAAAGUGUAGUAGGCUAGAAAUAUUUGGCGCGGGAAAAACAUCAUGUGCCUCACAUUUCUAUUAUAAAUUUAUUCUCUUGUUCUCGUUUUUCGAAAUUUAUUCUGAGGACAAUGUAAUGGGGACGAAGUCCCCAUUUGGCGAGGAUAAGGAAUCGAGGCGGCCCAUGCCGCCAAGAUGACGCAAUCCGAGUCCACCGCCGACCCGCCGUCGGAAGCGGCGGUGUCUCGCACGCAAACCUGGGAUCCACUGAUUGCCCGGUUAGUUUGAAACAUAGGAUACGAUCCUUUAGCAAUGUCCGACCGAGCUCUAGCGAGCGUCGGACGGUAUACGUCUGCCCGGGGCGUUACGUUUGCCUGGGGCGAUACGUUUGCCCGGUUAAUUCUUGUUUUGAAAUACAAUACCGCGCCACAAUAUUUAUAGCCUACUACACAUUUUAUAAGCGGUGGUUUCUGUUGCAGUCGUUUUCUGUGGCGAUUUAU